AUUAUCUCUCUUGGUUGGCUGAAAAGUGAGAACCCAUUGUUGCUUCCAUGGUUAUUGCAUUAGAGGCCACCAAGGUUGAAACCCUUACUAUGGGUAAGAUCUAUGCCUUCCUCAAACAGGAACCCAUUCAGGCAGCCUUUUUACCUGCAUAGCUCUUUUAACCAUGGAUCCCCAUCAUGAGAUGGCAACUCCACAGUGUAUGUUGGAUACAAUUGGCCAACCCCACAAUGUCAAAGUGAAGGUCUCUCACUACAACUUCACAGAAAAAAGGCAUACAAUAUCUGUCACAAAGUUUGUCUGUCUUCCAGUCUUGCCAGAUGUAAGAACCACCUAUGGAGAUCAGUCACCACAAACAUUGAAGGUGAGCAACUUCCCGGGCCAAUUGUAACAUGUAACUCCGCAUUUGGUGGAACUUUCUACGCUGGGUCUUCUGCUGGUGGAAGUGCUCCAACUAAUGACAGUGAAGUGGAACAGGAAGCCAAGCAUCCAAGAUUUAGUAGCUAAUACCUGUCAAAUCCCAGCUCCAUGUUGCUUUAGUUCUCCCAUUAUCUAUGUCGCUUAAGUUUAUGUACUUCUCUAGGAUUUCCUUCUGCAUAUCUGAACAUAAUUUUUAGAUUUAGUUUUUUUACCCUUUACUUUGGGUUGAACUUAUUUUCCUCAAAGCAAAGUUUCUCCAGAUAAUGUAAGCAU